UAGCCGUAAACGAUACUCGCUAGGUGUCGGCCACGGUGCGACCGUUGUCGGUGCCGUAGGGAAGCCGUGAAGCGAGCCACCUGGGAAGUACGGCCGCAAGGCUGAAACUUAAAGGAAUUGGCGGGGGAGCACCACAACGGGUGGAGCUUGCGGUUUAAUUGGAUUCAACGCCGGAAUCUUACCGGGACCGACAGCAACAUGAAGGCCAAGCUGAAGACUUUGCCGGAUUAGCUGAGAGGAGGUGCAUGGCGUAGUCGUGU
rnacentral:rRNA from 1 species